rnacentral:lncRNA from 1 species
GCAUAGGAUCACAAAUGUGAUGAACACAUGUGUCAAUAUAUUGCGUAUAUGCCUAUAGCUGAAACAUUAUUGUGUACACAUGGUGUAAACAUGGAAUUUUAAAAAAUCCAACAGCUACGCAUUGCCAUUUUAGAACCACUUUUAUCACAUUUGUUAAACAAGUUAAAGAUUAUCACAAGUACGUGACUAAAUUAACUACACAUAUCAAACUAUACAGUAGCUUAUUGUCAUUGAGUGUCUGCCUGGAGAGUCGAAUUCUGGAUAAACCCUAGUCUACAUGCAUCAAAUGUCACGUGUGUUUUUUCAUGUGUGUCUGUAAAUUUAUAUUCUGUCUAAAACAUUUAUAACAUAUAUCACAUUUAAAAGGUUUAUCACCAGUAUGUAAUCUCAUGUGUAUUUGUAAGUGACCACUUUGACUAAACCCUCUUCCACACACAUCGCAUUUAUGAGGUUUAUCACCAGUGUGUAUUAAAGUGUGCAUUUGUAAGGUAGGGAAACUACGAAAUGAUUUCCCACAUACAUCGCAUUGAUAAGGUUUAUCACCAGUGUGUAUUCUCUUAUGUAUUUGUAAGGGUUGAAAACUACGAAAUGAUUUACUACAUACAUCACAUUUAUAAGGUUUAGUGUCGUUGUGUGUUAUCAUGUGUGUCAGUAAGGUCAAUCUAUGGUGAAACCCUUUACAACAAACCUCACAUAUAAAAGGUUUAUCAUCAUUGUGUAAACUCAUGUGAGACUUCAAGUCCUUACACUUACUAAACUCUUUCGCGCAUACAUCACAUUUAAACGUUUUAUCACCAGAAUGUAUUCUCAUGUGUUUUCGAAAGGCCCCGUUCUGAAUAAAUCCUUUACCACACACAUCACAUUUAUAAGAUUUAUCACCUGUGUGUGUUUUCAUGUGACUCUGUAAGGUUACUUUCUGGCUAAACCCUCUCCCACAUACAUCACAUAUAAAUGGUUUAUCACCAGUAUGCGUUCUCAUGUGAGUUGUUAAGUGCUGAUUGGUCUUAAACACUUUCUUACAUAUUUCACAUGUAUACUGUCUAUCAUCGUGACCAUGGGGACCAGUAUGUAUUCUCAUGUGUCUCGUUAACUCGAAAUUUUGUCUAAACCCAUUACCACAUAUAUCACAUUUGAAAGGUCUUUCACUAGUGUGUGUUGUUGUGUGUCUCUUCAAGUACCAACUGUUAGAAAACCCUUUACCACAUACAUCACAUUUAUAAGAUUUAUCAUUGUAUGUAUGCGUUCUCAUGUGGCUCUGUAAACUACAAAUCUGGCUAUAACUUUUCCCACAUGCAUCACAUACAUAAGGUUUUUCACCAGUAUGUGUUCUCAUAUGCUUUUGCAUGUAAUCAUUAUAAGCAAACCCUCUACCAC